AAGAUCAUAUAAAUAUGAGCUUCUAACUCAAAAAUAUACUUAAAGUAUUGAUCUUU
rnacentral:tRNA from 1 species